AUUGAACGCUGGCGGCAGGCCUAACACAUGCAAGUCGAGCGGAUGAAGGGAGCUUGCUCCUGGAUUCAGCGGCGGACGGGUGAGUAAUGCCUAGGAAUCUGCCUGGUAGUGGGGGAUAACGUCCGGAAACGGGCGCUAAUACCGCAUACGUCCUGAGGGAGAAAGUGGGGGAUCUUCGGACCUCACGCUAUCAUAUGAGCCUAGGUCGGAUUAGCUAGUUGGUGGGGUAAAGGCCUACCAAGGCGACGAUCCGUAACUGGUCUGAGAGGAUGAUCAGUCACACGGGAACUGAGACACGGUACAGACUCCUAAGGGAGGCAGCAGAGGGGAAUAUUGGACAAUGGGCGAAAGCAUGAUACAGCCAUGCCGCGUGUGUGAAGAAGGUCUUCGGAUUGUAAAGCACUUUAAGUUGGGAGGAAGGGCAGUAAGUUAAUACCUUGCUGUUUUGACGUUACCAACAGAAUAAGCACCGGCUAACUUCGUG
rnacentral:rRNA from 1 species